ensembl:ncRNA lncRNA:CR44782 long non-coding RNA:CR44782
UUUACAGUCAGAGCCGAAAGUAUGACUUGGCACGUAGUUCACCUAGCGAUGGCAGCCGAAAGUGCUAAUGCCGGUGGGCGGUGUGCGGCAAGGGGCGUGGCAGGUGACUGGAGGCCAAGGCAGACUUGUCGUUAACAUAUUGUGGCAUAUUUAUUUUCUUUCCUGCCGCCAACAUUCACGUUGCCCGUCAAAUUCGCCAAGCUGACGCAAAAUGUUUAAUUAAAUUUUGAGCAGCAUUACUUAAAAAUGGUAUGUUACCUUUGAUAGGGUAAACAAAUUCCACGAAUGGUCUAAAAGUGUGCCGGGAAAAGGAGUGGAAGAAGCGGACGAGAAAAAAAAGGAAAACAGUCGAAGUAAACGAAUUUCUUUCGUACGUGCCUGACAUUUCAUUGUUUUCGUUGCGGAAGAAAGAACGCAGUUAGAAAGCAGGUGAAAGGGCGGAGAAAGUGGGCUUCGAAUGAACGGAAGGUUGGGUCGAGAACUCACGCACCAUCCUGUUCGGAGCAACCUUCAGAUGUCGCCUCUAAACGGCGUCGAUGUCGAUACACGUACGUCAUCUUCAUGUGGCCUAUACCUAUACCCUAACUUCUACGAUUGGUAAUUAACCGAAAAUAUUUAAAAAAAAAAUGUUCUUUAAUUGGUAAAAUAAAUAUUAUGCAGUCCGAAGUAUAAGAAAA